CUCAUCUUAUGUUGUUGAUGUUCACAGUUUAUGGUUUCAACCAAUCCUUACUCAGAUUCACACUGCAGGAAACGUUCUGCUCUCUGGUUGUAUGUAUUAACUGAAUAAUGUGCAUCGAAGCACAUUUUAAUAACGGCAGCGCCUUUCUGAUACUAGUUGUGUAGACUCAUUUUCCUAAACAGAAGGAAAGAGUUGUCCUGAAAUUCUUUCUGAGAAAUGUGGCGAUACAGUGAUAAUGGUUGAUCUAAUGUUGUUGACUACAAACGGUGAUCAAAAGAAAACGUCUUCGCUUCCAGACAAUCCCACGAGAAACUACCCUUGCUUCUUGACAUAUCGGCUUUUGGUCUAGUUGUUGGAUGCAAACGCCGAUCAAAAGAAAACGCCUUCGCUUCCAGACAAUUCCAAGGAAACAUUCUUGCAUCUUGAUUUAUCGGUGAGUAAAACCUUUC